GCCCUUUGGCCCUCAUUAUUCUACCUGACCUUUUGAUCUCUCUUUUUUCUUGAAUGGGUUCCCACGUGGCUGUCAGAUGAGAUAUGAACCGUGAAAUGCAAUUCAAUCUAUCUAAGAAACCAGGAACCUUCUUUUCUGUUCUCGGUUCAGGCAUUUCUUGUAUUGCUUUUUUCCUUUUUCUUUUCUUUCUUUUCUUUGUUUUCUUUUUUUUUUAGCAGGAUCAACCUCGAUUCCUCUUAUCCGCUCACAAUGAGCCUCAUCAUUUUACCGGACAGCACUCCAC
rnacentral:lncRNA from 1 species